rnacentral:ribozyme from 13 species
AAAAAAAAAGUUCCAAAAAUAUAUCCCCCCACUUUGUUGAUGUACUUGUCCACAUCUACAGAGCGUGUGGUUUAUUUUUUUGUUUUGUUUUUUUGUUGUUUGUUUAUUUUCUCUUC